rnacentral:lncRNA from 1 species
AUCCUAUCAGUAUUCUGGUCAAAGAUCCGUAAAUAACACCCCUCUCAAUUCAUUUUCUUAAAUCUUUGAGUUUUACCUUCUCCUUUGGGCCUAAACCUUAUCCAAUUUUAAGUCCAAACUGUACAAAAUCUUGUUUAAACCAUACUCAUUUUUAGGGUGUUUCUCCCCCACUACUCGAAUACUCCUACACCUCCUCACUAUUUAUUUUUAUUCCAAAAAUACUUUAUACUUCUCCGUUAUCCUCACCAAUCUCUCUUUCUCUCCCCAUCCCACCCCACUUUCACUUUCUCUUUGCUUCAAAUUCGAGAAGUGAGAAAAACAACUUUAGAAUAAUAUCUGGUUGGAAAACAGUUGAACAUUUUCUUUGUCCUCAGAUCAACAUAUUGAAAGUAGAAGAUAGGUGGAAAAAGUGGUCGGAGAGGUAGGCCAUCAGAGUACUCUACUAAUAAAAACUAAACUAACAAUUAAUAUUUGCAGAUUAAAAUAGUGUUGCAACAAGAGGUGCGAAAAAUUAAACCCUAAUACUUCCAUUCAUGGGACUAAAGCUACCAUUGAUAGCAAAUUGCCAAAUUGUAUGGGUAAAAGAAAUCUUCAAUGCAUUAAUAGGAAAAAUCAACAUAAAAACAAUAAUAGCAAGUGUAAAAACAUGAAAAACAACCUAAACGGAUAUGAAAAUUGAAAAGAAAAUAUGAAAGUGAAAGAGAAAGUGGGAGGUGUGGGGGUGGAAGUAGAGGUUUGCCUCUGAGAUAAAGAGUAAAAGUUUAGGGUUUUAAAAAAUAAAAAAUAAAAUAGGUAAAGGAAAAAAAAAGGUAAGAUUGGAAUUUAGAAAAAAAUUGGGAAGUGGAGGGAGAAGAUGGGAGGGUAGAAGGAGUAACACCACCAUUUUUAAACUCUAACCAUUAAUUUUUGUGUUCAACGGCUUGCUUCGAGUCUAAACCUUGUCUAAAUUUUUCUUUUCCUACCACGUUUCAUAUUGCAAUUACUAACUUAGGCUGAUAUUAUUAACCUAUUUACUACUCAUACAUUUCAUUCAUCAUUUAACUCUAUCGUGAUCAAUAGGUGUAAGUCCCAUCGUUGUUUUGCCUCAUUGAUGUCAAACUUGUGUUUCUCAUUUUAGGGUUCAUUUGGACUCUUGUAUUAGG